rnacentral:rRNA from 1 species
UACGUAGGGUGCGAGCGUUGUCCGGAAUUAUUGGGCGUAAAGAGCUUGUAGGCGGUUUGUCGCGUCUGCCGUGAAAUUUCGGGGCUCAACCCCGAACUUGCGGUGGGUACGGGCAGACUAGAGUGUGGUAGGGGAGACUGGAAUUCCUGGUGUAGCGGUGAAAUGCGCAGAUAUCGAGAGGAACACCUGCGGCGAAGGCGGGUUGCUGGGCUGACACUGACGCUGAACUGCGAAAGCUAGGGGAGCGAACGGG